AUGCAGGUCUAUCACCGUACAGGUAUAUCACUAUGCAUAUCUAUUAUCAUACAAAUUAUUAUUACUCAGCUCCCUCAGACCCACAUCCACCUGAGGGCAAAGAGCGCAUGCGCACUGCCUGAGGAGCGGCUCCCGCCCGCGCGCAGACGGGGCGCGCGGUCCGCGCACGCGCGGCUGCAGCGGGGGGACGGGGUCACAGGGCCGCGGCGUUUUGCGCCCCGCCCGGAGGGUGCGCGCGCAGGUCCGCUCUCGCUGGCCGGAAGCGCUCGCGCAGCGCAGCUUCCCCUCAGCGUUGAGGGGGGCCAGCGGAGGCGGCGCCAUCUUGGCGGAGCCGUGCCGGGAGCUGCGGGCCCCGUCCGAGCGGCGUGUCCGUUAAGUUGAUUUUACAGAAUUUAUCAGGUCUCCAAAGCAGAAACAGGUGAUUUUUGCUGUGGGUUGAGCUCAGCAUGGCUGUAGUCAUCCGUUUACAGGGGCUUCCUGUUGUUGCGGGUCCUCCAGAUAUUCGUCGUUUCUUCUUGGGAUUGAAUAUUCCUGAUGGAG
rnacentral:lncRNA from 1 species